CCGUAACUAUAACGGUCCUAAGGUAGCGAAAUUCCUUGUCGGGUAAGUUCCGACCUGCACGAAUGGCGUAACGACUUGAGCGCUGUCUCCACCAUGAACUCGGCGAAAUUGCAGUACGAGUAAAGAUGCUCGUUACGCGCGGAAAGACGGAAAGACCCCGGGACCUUUACUAUAUCUUGAUAUUGGUACUCGGAACGUUCUGUGUAGCAUAGGUGGGAGACUUUGAAGCGGCACGCCAGUGUUCGUGGAGUCAAAAAAUGAAAUACCACUCUGAACGUUUUGAGUUUCUAACCUCGGCCCAUUAUCUGGGUCAGGGACAGUGUCUGGUGGGUAGUUUAACUGGGGCGGUUGCCUCCCAAAAAGUAACGGAGGCGCUCAAAGGUUCCCUCAGCCUGGUUGGUAAUCAGGUGUCGAGUGUAAGUGCACAAGGGAGCUUAACUGUGAGACAGACAUGUCGAGCAGGUGCGAAAGCAGGAACUAGUGAUCCGGCGGUGGCUUGUGGAAGCGCCGUCGCUCAACGGAUAAAAGGUACCCCGGGGAUAACAGGCUGAUCUUGCCCAAGAGUCCAUAUCGACGGCAAGGUUUGGCACCUCGAUGUCGGCUCGUCUCAUCCUGGGGCUGGAGUAGGUCCCAAGGGUUGGGCUGUUCGCCCAUUAAAGAGGCACGCGAGCUGGGUUCAGAACGUCGUGAGACAGUUCGGUCCAUAUCCGGUGUAGGCGUUAGAAUAUUGAGAGGAGCCUUCUUUAGUACGAGAGGACCGAGAAGGACAUACCUCUGGUGUACCAGUUAUCGUGCCAACGGUAAACGCUGGGUAGCUAUGUAUGGAGUGGAUAACCGCUGAAAGCAUCUAAGUGGGAAGCCCACCUCAAGAUGAGUAUUCCCAUGGCGUUAGCCAGUAAGGUCACGGGAAGAACACCCGUUGAUAGGCUCUACGUGGAAGCGUGGCAACACGUGAAGCGGAGGAGUACUAAUAGACCGAGGGCUUGACCAA
rnacentral:rRNA from 1 species